rnacentral:rRNA from 1 species
GGUGAAAAGCACCCCGGAAGGGGAGUGAAAUAGAACCUGAAACCGUGUGCUUACAAGUAGUCAGAGCCCGUUAAUGGGUGAUGGCGUGCCUUUUGUAGAAUGAACCGGCGAGUUACGAUUUGAUGCAAGGUUAAGCAGUAAAUGUGGAGCCGUAGCGAAAGCGAGUCUGAAUAGGGCGUUUAGUAUUUGGUCGUAGACCCGAAACCAGGUGAUCUACCCUUGGUCAGGUUGAAGUUCAGGUAACACUGAAUGGAGGACCGAACCGACUUACGUUGAAAAGUGAGCGGAUGAACUGAGGGUAGCGGAGAAAUUCCAAUCGAACCUGGAGAUAGCUGGUUCUCUCCGAAAUAGCUUUAGGGCUAGCCUCAAGUGAUGAUUAUUGGAGGUAGAGCACUGUUUGGACGAGGGGCCCCUCUCGGGUUACCGAAUUCAGACAAACUCCGAAUGCCAAUUAAUUUAACUUGGGAGUCAGAACAUGGGUGAUAAGGUCCGUGUUCGAAAGGGAAACAGCCCAGACCACCAGCUAAGGUCCCAAAAUAUAUGUUAAGUGGAAAAGGAUGUGGCGUUGCCCAGACAACUAGGAUGUUGGCUUAGAAGCAGCCAUCAUUUAAAGAGUGCGUAAUAGCUCACUAGUCGAGUGACACUGCGCCGAAAAUGUACCGGGGCUAAACAUAUUACCGAAGCUGUGGAUUGUCCUUUGGACAAUGGUAGGAGAGCGUUCUAAGGGCGUUGAAGCAUGAUCGUAAGGACAUGUGGAGCGCUUAGAAGUGAGAAUGCCGGUGUGAGUAGCGAAAGACGGGUGAGAAUCCCGUCCACCGAUUGACUAAGGUUUCCAGAGGAAGGCUCGUCCGCUCUGGGUUAGUCGGGUCCUAAGCUGAGGCCGACAGGCGUAGGCGAUGGAUAACAGGUUGAUAUUCCUGUACCACCUAUAAUCGUUUUAAUCGAUGGGGGGACGCAGUAGGAUAGGCGAAGCGUGCGAUUGGAUUGCACGUCUAAGCAGUAAGGCUGAGUAUUAGGCAAAUCCGGUACUCAUUAAGGCUGAGCUGUGAUGGGGAGAAGACAUUGUGUCUUCGAGUCGUUGAUUUCACACUGCCGAGAAAAGCCUCUAGAUAGAAAAUAGGUGCCCGUACCGCAAACCGACACAGGUAGUCAAGAUGAGAAUUCUAAGGUGAGCGAGCGAACUCUCGUUAAGGAACUCGGCAAAAUGACCCCGUAACUUCGGGAGAAGGGGUGCUCUUUAGGGUUAACGCCCAGAAGAGCCGCAGUGAAUAGGCCCAAGCGACUGUUUAUCAAAAACACAGGUCUCUGCUAAACCGUAAGGUGAUGUAUAGGGGCUGACGCCUGCCCGGUGCUGGAAGGUUAAGAGGAGUGGUUAGCUUCUGCGAAGCUACGAAUCGAAGCCCCAGUAAACGGCGGCCGUAACUAUAACGGUCCUAAGGUAGCGAAAUUCCUUGUCGGGUAAGUUCCGACCCGCACGAAAGGCGUAACGAUUUGGGCACUGUCUCAACGAGAGACUCGGUGAAAUCAUAGUACCUGUGAAGAUGCAGGUUACCCGCGACAGGACGGAAAGACCCCGUGGAGCUUUACUGUAGCCUGAUAUUGAAAUUCGGCACAGCUUGUACAGGAUAGGUAGGAGCCUUUGAAACGUGAGCGCUAGCUUACGUGGAGGCGCUGGUGGGAUACUACCCUAGCUGUGUUGGCUUUCUAACCCGCACCACUUAUCGUGGUGGGAGACAGUGUCAGGCGGGCAGUUUGACUGGGGCGGUCGCCUCCUAAAAGGUAACGGAGGCGCUCAAAGGUUCCCUCAGAAUGGUUGGAAAUCAUUCAUAGAGUGUAAAGGCAUAAGGGAGCUUGACUGCGAGACCUACAAGUCGAGCAGGGUCGAAAGACGGACUUAGUGAUCCGGUGGUUCCGCAUGGAAGGGCCAUCGCUCAACGGAUAAAAGCUACCCCGGGGAUAACAGGCUUAUCUCCCCCAAGAGUUCACAUCGACGGGGAGGUUUGGCACCUCGAUGUCGGCUCAUCGCAUCCUGGGGCUGUAGUCGGUCCCAAGGGUUGGGCUGUUCGCCCAUUAAAGCGGUACGCGAGCUGGGUUCAGAACGUCGUGAGAC